rnacentral:rRNA from 1 species
AUUGAACGCUGGCGGCAGGCCUAACACAUGCAAGUCGAACGAGUGGCGGACGGGUGAGUAAUGUCUGGGAAACUGCCCGCUGGAGGGGGAUAACUACUGGAAACGGUAGCUAAUACCGCCUACCAUCGGAUGUGCCCAGAUGGGUUUAGCUUGUGGGUGGGGUAGAGGCUCACCUAGGCGACGAUCCCUAGCUGGUCUGCGAGGAUGAGCAGCAACACGGGAACUGAGACACGGUCCAGAUUCCAACGGGAGGAAGCAGUGGGGAAUAUUGGACAAUGGGGGCAAGCCUAAUGCAGCCAUGCGGCGUGGAUGAAGAAGGCCUUCGGGUUGUAAAGUACUUUCAGCGAGGAGGCGUUACUCGCAGAAGAAGCACCGGCUAACUCCGUGCCAGCAGCCGCGGUAAUAC